AUGGCAUGUCUUGGACUUUUUCAUGGGAAGAUCUUAUUUAAAAAUGGAUCAACUGAAAUAUCUAGAGAAUGUGACUUGUGCCAAAGAGGGACAGAGAACAAAAGCACAGAAAUAUUGUCAGCUUUGCAUGGUGUCUCCAGAACUUCACAAUUAUCUCUACGUUGAAUUUAUUGCUACUCUUCCUCUUGUUUUACGUUGGUUCUUUAUUUAAUGGUAAAUGGGGAAAAAAAAGUUCUAGUGUACUUUUUCAACACAUCAUUAGAUUAUUUGAAUCCAGUAUGGCAGCUGUUAUCACCCUACUUGUGAGUAAUGCAAUUGGUGUUCUUUAUAUCUGUUCGUUCAUGUCGAGUAUUGACACUUUCAGAUCGGUACACGAUGCUUUGCAACCCAAGUCCAGAUUGUGUUACCGCAGUGCGCAGUACUCAGGAAGCUGGCUACCCACUACAUAUCAUUGUAUUUAUCUAUUAUGCAUUCUGCUUGGUAUUAAUGAUGCUGCUCCCAACUUUCUGGUGAAGAAGAUUGCAUGUGAGUUAGGGAAGUCUGAUUUAAAAGUAUUUAUGCAGCACUUUACUGUUUCCUAAUAUUACCCAUGCUUCAGGUGGUUGGUGGAGGCCUUUUAUAUUAUGCCUUCCCAUACAUUAUAUUAGUGUCAUCUUUGGUUACUCUAGAUGUGUAUGUAUCGGCUUCUGAAAUAGAGAACUACUAUGAUCUUCUGGUCAGAAAGAAAAGACUUAUUCUCUUCAGCCACUGGUUACUUCAUGCCCGUAGAAAAACAAAAAUCUUCGUUUCCAGAGUGAAUAAACUUGAGCAAUGUUUGCCCCUUUGGACUUUGGCACCUACACUAUCCAUUUAUUCCUUGUUCACUGAAAAAUGUACUGAACUUUCACAGAUACUCUCAGAAGGAGCCAGUAGACACUGA
rnacentral:lncRNA from 1 species